GCGCCGCGCCGGCCGCCUCCCGCGCCCGCUCGCCGCCGCCUCCAUCGUCCACCUUCCGUGCACAGAGGGACAGAGAGAGCGCGGGCAGUGGGUAGGAAAUUACUCCCAGUAGCCUUGAUCAGAAGACAUUUGGACUUGAGGUGGGACAGAAAGAGGUAGAGCACCAAAAUUCUGCAGAGGUAAACUGCCAUCUCACUUUACAUGUGGCCUUAUGCACACUCUCAUCUGUACCUUCAAAAGCACCAUUCAUAUCCUGUUAGGAUGUUAUAAUCAAUCCAUGGUGCACAUUACCCAUCACAAUGAAAUUUAGCUAGCUCUGCAUCUGUCAGCCACUAUAUUUCACAUUUAUUACAGCUUUUAAUUAAUCAUCUCUUGAUAGCUAAACACAGCACUAUCAACCUCGAUGUCAGUUCCCAGCAGGAGUUUCAAGUAAACAGCAAGGUUCUCUGGACUCAGUGGAUCUUCCAACCAAUAUUAUAGCCAAUUUUCCACUCCUCUCAUCCAUCUUUCUAAUACUGAGGUAAGCCAUUUAUCUCCUGGGUAAUAUAUUUUAACAGCAGACAAGUGCUACCUUUAUUUUCAGCAUGAAAGGAGCCCUGGGGUGGUAUAAAUAUUUAUAUGCUUAUAGGAAUGAAACAGCUGGAAGUCAUUGCUUAGCGGGCCUCAACUUGUGAGUUACACUUUGCAUGAGUAGGACUAUGACCCCUGAAUUAGCACAGAGGAAGAAGAAAGCAGAAAGCAGAAGGAACCCAUGGCAUUGUUGAAAACAGCCACAGAGGGCUGCCUUCCUUAUGGAAGCCAUUAGGUUUCUAGGUUAUUUGCAAUUGGCAGGGAAAUAUACAAUCUGUGGCCAAAGCAACUGAUAACUUCGGUAUCAGGGAUAUUUCUGAGUUCCUUUCAUUCCUGAGUUUGGCCUUUUAAUUAAUUUAAAAAGGAUCCAACAUCCAGAAUGCACUGCCUCCUCUCUUCCUGUGAGAAAUCUCUACUACUAGAAAUAGAUUUAAAAGCUGAUCUGCUUUCCACCAGCUUUCUAACAGAAAAAAACAUUAUGCUCUGCAACAGACAGUAUAUUCAGAAGCCUGCUUCACUGAAAAGAAAAUCCAUGCUCACAUAAUUACUCCAGGACAGGAGUGCAAAGAUUAAUUUAUGUAUCUGUGUUAGCCAUUACCAAAGUGCCUGUUAUGCUGGAACAUCCCUAACCAGCAAUGCAAACUAUGCAUUUCCUAAUGACAGAACUUUUGUUCAACAUCUCUUCACCUGCUUUUUUAAAAAAGGAAUCAGACCCAGAGCUGCCCCAACCAAUACCAGAGCCAGACAGAUUCACACAGUGCCAGUUUCAGUGGGUAAAAAAGUAAUACAGGAACUAAGAGUUAACCUAUAAGGCACCCAUAAACUUUAAUGAAGCAUGGAAAAUCCAGUGCACAGACAGAUUUUCCUGCUGCCAAACAAUUAAGCAAAGGCAAAGAGAAUCUUCUUUGGGCAACAUGCAACAAAGCAAACUUUACAUAGACUAUCUGCUUCAAAAUCACAUUAAAGGACAAAGAAAUUGCCUCUUCUAGAAGUUAUGGAGGGCAGGAACAUUUUGUUUUCCUAACAUAAUUUGGUAAAACUGUCUCAACACAAUCAGAUAAUGUCAAUCACUUCUGCCUCUAUGUCUUUUGAUGCUGGUGCCAGGUCAUGCCCUUGAGAGGUACGGGAAAAGAUGUACGAAGAGGAUUCCCAGCGCUGUUUGUGUUCUGAAGAGGAGACCGCUCCCCUCAAGGAAUUUAAGGAGCUUCCCUGUGCACACAGAAACAUAUCCAAGCAGUGUGAAACACAAGAGCAGACUCAGGAAGUGGGGUCAGAAGAACAAGUGUAGAGAAGCUUUGACUGCCCAUGCAGGGAAAGUUCUUGAAUUGGUGACAGAGCCUGACAAAAGCCACAAAAUAACAAGAUCCUCAUUUCCAAAGACUGACUGUUUUGCUGGGCAGGUGUCUUUUUGCUUGGAUAUUAUAAUGUCUCUUGUAUAUGCUAUCCAUGCAAAAGAAGAACAUGAAAAAGACAGAAAAUAAAAAAACUGAGAAACAUUGACUGUAAUCUUUGUAUUAUCUAAUGUAGUUCCUUUGAAUAAAACACUUUUUUUUU